GACGUAGGGCGCGAGCGUUGUCCGGAUUUAUUGGGCGUAAAGAGCUCGUAGGCGGCUUGUUGCGUCGGCUGUGAAAUCCCGUGGCUUAACUGCGGGCUUGCAGCUGAUACGGGCGGGCUGGAGUUCGGUAGGGGAGACUGGAAUUCCUGGUGUAGCGGUGAAAUGCGCAGAUAUCAGGAGGAACACCGGUGGCGAAGGCGGCUCACUGGCCCGGUACUGACGCUGGAGGUGCGAAAGCGUGGGGAGCAAACAGG
rnacentral:rRNA from 1 species